UAUGUAGGGUGCGAGCGUUGUCCGGAAUUAUUGGGCGUAAAGAGCUCGUAGGCGGUUUGUUGCGUCGGCCGUGAAAACCUGCAGCUUAACUGUGGGCCUGCGGCCGAUACGUGCAGACUUGAGUUCGGUAGGGGAGACUGGAAUUCCUGGUGUAGCGGUGAAAUGCGCAGAUAUCAGGAGGAACACCGGUGGCGAAGGCGGGUCUCUGGGCCGAUACUGACGCUGAGGAGCGAAAGCGUGGGGAGCGAACAGG
rnacentral:rRNA from 1 species